AUGUAUUUAUUACAGAUAUUCAGCUUCUUGCUACUCAGUGUCACAGUAUCAAGUGGACAAAUUUUGCUCACUCAGUCUCCAGCAUUCUUGACUGCAUCUCCAGGGGAAAAGGUCACCAUCACCUGUAGUGCCAGCUCAAGUAUAAGCUCCAAUUACUUACACUGGUACCAGCAGAAGCCAGGAGCCUUGCCUAAACUCAUGGUUUAUAGAACAUCCUACUUGGCCUCUGGAGUACCAACUCGCUUCAGUGGCAGUGAGUCUGGGACCUCUUACUCCUUAAAAAUCAGCAACCUGAUGCCUGAAGAUGUUGCCACUUACUACUGUACUCAGGGGAGUAGUAGGCCAUCUACACAGUGCUACAGACUGGAACAAAAAACCCCUUACCUCCCUAGGGCCCAUCUUCUUCCUCCUCGAAAUGAAAUGUGA